rnacentral:rRNA from 1 species
UGCAAGUCGAGCGGUAAGGCCUUUCGGGGUACACGAGCGGCGAACGGGUGAGUAACACGUGGGUGAUCUGCCCUGCACUUCGGGAUAAGCCUGGGAAACUGGGUCUAAUACCGGAUAUGACCUCCUAUCGCAUGGUGGGUGGUGGAAAGAUUUAUCGGUGCAGGAUGGGCCCGCGGCCUAUCAGCUUGUUGGUGGGGUAAUGGCCUACCAAGGCGACGACGGGUAGCCGACCUGAGAGGGUGACCGGCCACACUGGGACUGAGACACGGCCCAGACUCCUACGGGAGGCAGCAGUGGGGAAUAUUGCACAAUGGGCGAAAGCCUGAUGCAGCGACGCCGCGUGAGGGAUGACGGCCUUCGGGUUGUAAACCUCUUUCAGCAGGGACGAAGCGCAAGUGACGGUACCUGCAGAAGAAGCACCGGCUAACUACGUGCCAGCAGCCGCGGUAAUACGUAGGGUGCAAGCGUUGUCCGGAAUUACUGGGCGUAAAGAGUUCGUAGGCGGUUUGUCGCGUCGUUUGUGAAAACCAGCAGCUCAACUGCUGGCUUGCAGGCGAUACGGGCAGACUUGAGUACUGCAGGGGAGACUGGAAUUCCUGGUGUAGCGGUGAAAUGCGCAGAUAUCAGGAGGAACACCGGUGGCGAAGGCGGGUCUCUGGGCAGUAACUGACGCUGAGGAACGAAAGCGUGGGUAGCGAACAGGAUUAGAUACCCUGGUAGUCCACGCCGUAAACGGUGGGCGCUAGGUGUGGGUUCCUUCCACGGAAUCCGUGCCGUAGCUAACGCAUUAAGCGCCCCGCCUGGGGAGUACGGCCGCAAGGCUAAAACUCACAGGAAUUGACGGGGGCCCGCACAAGCGGCGGAGCAUGUGGAUUAAUUCGAUGCAACGCGAAGAACCUUACCUGGGUUUGACAUAUACCGGAAAGCUGCAGAGAUGUGGCCCCCCUUGUGGUCGGUAUACAGGUGGUGCAUGGCUGU